GAUGGACGCCGGCGGUGUGCCUAAUACAUGCAAGUCGAACGCGUUGGCCUAAUUGAUUGAUGGUGCUUGCACCUGAUUGAUUUUGGUCGCCAACGAGUGGCGGACGGGUGAGUAACACGUAGGUAACCUGCCCAGAAGCGGGGGACAACAUUUGGAAACAGAUGCUAAUACCGCAUAACAGCGUUGUUCGCAUGAACAACGCUUAAAAGAUGGCUUCUCGCUAUCACUUCUGGAUGGACCUGCGGUGCAUUAGCGUGUUGGUGGGGUAACGGCCUACCAAGGCGAUGAUGCAUAGCCGAGUUGAGAGACUGAUCGGCCACAAUGGGACUGAGACACGGCCCAUACUCCUACGGGAGGCAGCAGUAGGGAAUCUUCCACAAUGGGCGCAAGCCUGAUGGAGCAACACCGCGUGAGUGAAGAAGGGUUUCGGCUCGUAAAGCUCUGUUGUUAAAGAAGAACACGUAUGAGAGUAACUGUUCAUACGUUGACGGUAUUUAACCAGAAAGUCACGGCUAACUACGUG
rnacentral:rRNA from 1 species